CCUACGGGUGACAGCAGUGGGGGAUAUUGCACAAUGGGGGAAACCCUGAUGAAGCGACGCCGCGUGGCUGAAGAAGCGUCUCGGCGCGUAAAGCCCUGUCAGCAGGGAAGAAAAUGACGGUACCUGAAGAAGAAGCCCCGGCUAACUACGUGCCAGCAGCCGCGGUAAUACGUAGGGGGCAAGCGUUAUCCGGAUUUACUGGGUGUAAAGGGGGCGCAGACGGCGAUGCAAGCCAGGAGUGAAAGCCCGGGGCCCAACCCCGGGACUGCUCUUGGAACUGCGUGGCUAGAGUGCAGGAGGGGCAGGCGGAAUUCCUGGUGUAGCGGUGAAAUGCGUAGAUAUCAGGAGGAACACCGGUGGCGAAGGCGGCCUGCUGGACUGCAACUGACGUUGAGGCCCGAAAGCGUGGGGAGCAAACAGGAUUAGAUACCCCUGUAGUC
rnacentral:rRNA from 1 species